GACGGCCCGAAUCCGGUGAUCCGUGGUGCCGAGAAAAGCUUCGGCGUCAGGCGCGUUGCCGCCCGUACCCCAAACCGACACUGGUGGUCAGGUAGAGAAUACCAAAGCGAUCGAGCGAAUCCUGGUCAAGGAACUCGGCAAAUUGCUCCCGUGCCUUCGGCAUAAGGGAGACCCCCUGCGGUGAUGAGCGGCGGGGGGUGGCACAGGCCAGGGGGUAGCGACUGUUUACCAAAAACACAGGAGCGUGCGAAGGCGCAAGCCGCUGUAUACGCUCUGACGCCUGCCCGGUGCCGGAAGGUUAAGAGGAUCCGUCAGCUUUCUGCGAAGCGGUGAAUUCAAGCCCCGGUAAACGGCGGUGGUAACGAUAACCAUCCUAAGGUAGCGAAAUUCCUUGUCGGGUAAGUUCCGACCUGCCCGAAUGGCGUAACGACUUCCCCACUGUCUCGACCAGGAGCUCGGCGAAAUUGCAGUACGAGUAAAGAUGCUCGUUAAGCGCAGAAGGACGAAAAGACCCCGGGACCUUUACUAUACCUUGGUAUUGGCAUUAGGCGCGGAUUGUGUAGCAUAGGCGGGAGGCUUCGAGGCGGGUGCGCCAGCAUCCGCGGAGCCGCAAGGUGAAAUACCGCUCUGUUCUCGUUUGAUGUCUAACCUCGAACAGUCAUCCUGUUCAGGGACAGUGCCUGGCGGGUAGUUCAACUGGGGCGGUUGCCUCCCAAAGAGUAACGGAGGCGCUCAAAGGUCCGCUCGGCCCGGUUGGCAAUCGGGUGUCGAGUGUAAUCGCACAAGCGGGCUUGACUGCGAGAUCGACGGAUCGAGCAGGGACGAAAGUCGGAGAUAGUGAUCCGGUGCCGGCGCACGGGCGCGGCAUCGCUCAACGGAUAAAAGGUACCCCGGGGAUAACAGGCUGAUCAUUCCCAAGAGUCCAUAUCGACGGGAUGGUUUGGCACCUCGAUGUCGGCUCGUCGCAUCCUGGGGCUGGGGCAGGUCCCAAGGGUUCGGCUGUUCGCCGAUCAAAGCGGCACGCGAGCUGGGUUCAGAACGUCGUGAGACAGUUUGGUCUCUAUCCUCUGCGCUCGUUGGAAUCUUGAGGAGGCCUGCCCAUAGUACGAGAGGACCUGGGUGGACGAACCUCUGGUAUGCCGGUCGUCACGCCAGUGGCGCGGCCGGUUGGCUACGUUCGGAAGGGAUAACCGCUGAAAGCAUCUAAGCGGGAAGCCUUCUCCAAGAUAAGGAUUCCAUGCGGCCCCGAGCCGCUGAAGACCCCAUGCAGAACACGUGGUCGAUAGGCCGGACGUGGAAGCCCCGCGAGGGGUGGAGCCGACCGGUACUAAUGGUCGAGACC
rnacentral:rRNA from 1 species